AGACCGCCUGGGGAGUACGGCCGCAAGGUUAAAACUCAAAUGAAUUGACGGGGGCCCGCACAAGCGGUGGAGUAUGUGGUUUAAUUCGAUGCAACGCGAAGAACCUUACCUGGUCUUGACAUCCACAGAAGAAUCCAGAGAUGGAUUUGUGCCUUCGGGAACUGUGAGACAGGUGCUGCAUGGCUGUCGUCAGCUCGUGUUGUGAAAUGUUGGGUUAAGUCCCGCAACGAGCGCAACCCUUAUCCUUUGUUGCCAGCGAUUAGGUCGGGAACUCAAAGGAGACUGCCAGUGAUAAACUGGAGGAAGGUGGGGAUGACGUCAAGUCAUCAUGGCCCUUACGACCAGGGCUACACACGUGCUACAAUGGCGCAUACAAAGAGAAGCGACCUCGCGAGAGCAAGCGGACCUCAUAAAGUGCGUCGUAGUCCGGAUUGGAGUCUGCAACUCGACUCCAUGAAGUCGGAAUCGCUAGUAAUCGUGGAUCAGAAUGCCACGGUGAAUACGUUCCCGGGCCUUGUACACACCGCCCGUCACACCAUGGGAGUGGGUUGCAAAAGAAGUAGGUAGCUUAACCUUCGGGAGGGCGCUUACCACUUUGUGAUUCAUGACUGGGGUGAAGUCGUAACAAGGUAACCGUAGGGGAACCUGCGGUUGGAUCACCUCCUUA
rnacentral:rRNA from 1 species